UUUGCAUAUGGUAAAUUAUAACUUAUUAUUUAAUUCCCGAAAAAAAAAUCUACGUAUUUUUAUUUAGGAAAAUAUUUAUGAAAAAGUAGAAUUUUUAAUAAUAAUUAGUGGGAAAGGCUUCAAUUUUUUGAUAUCGGGAUAUAUUUUAAAUACAUUUAGGUAGGUUUAAACUAAAUUAAGGAGUUUAAGAUUUUUAAGAAAAGAAAUUUUAUUUUCAAAUUUAAAUUAGGUUAAUCCUUCGAUUUUUUUUUAAUUUAAAAAUCAAAUUUUUAUAAGUUCUUUAAUUUUAAUUUAUUUAUUCUUUUGUUUAUUAAAGAAUUUAAUAAUGUUUAAAUUAGUAAUACUAUUAUAAUUCUCUNUAAGGAACUUGGCAAACAUUAUAUUCAACUGUUUAACAAAAACAUAGCUUAUUGUUUUUAAUUUUAAGUGAUUCCUGCCCAGUGAUUUUUUAACGGCCGCAGUACUCUGACUGUGCUAAGGUAGCAUAAUCAAUUGGCUUUUAAUUGAAGUCUAGUAUCAAAGGAUUUUUGAAUAAUUACUGUCUUAAAUAUAAUUUUUUAAACUUACUUAAAAGGUGAAAAUUCCUUUAAUUUUUAUAUUAGACAAGAAGACCCUUAGAGUUUAUUUCUGUUUUGUUGGGGCGACAAGGUAACAUUAAAACUUACCGAUUUUAAAAAGUAAUUUUUUUGUAGAAUUAAAAAACUACCUAAGGGAUAACAGCAUAAUUUUUUAUUUGUUUGUGACCUCGAUGUUGGAUUA
rnacentral:rRNA from 1 species